rnacentral:rRNA from 1 species
AACUUUGAGCGGUGGAUCACUCG